rnacentral:rRNA from 1 species
UGUUAAGUGCAUGCCGGCAGAUGGGGUGAAACGUAGGUGGCAUGGGUUUUCCGUAAGUAUGGGGCGUAAAGAGUUCCGGUCGUGGUGGUGACGAGUGACGGGAAAGGCCGGGGCUUAACCCCGGAUCUGCGGUUGGUACGGGCAGACUAGAGUGCAGGAGGGGAGACUGGAAUUCCUGGUGUAGCGGUGGAAUGCGCAGAUAUCAGGAGGAACACCGAUGGCGAAGGCAGGUCUCUGGGCUGUAACUGACGCUGAGGAGCGAAAGCAUGGGGAGCGAACAGGAUUAGAUACCCCGGUAGUC